CAUACCCGCUUUCACUCCAGAAUGCAUAAAUCUUUUGCCUUUUACUAAAGAUUUCCAUGGAAAGGAGCAGUUGACUUACUACUACCAACUCUGGUCCUCAUUCACUGGAUCUAA